UACGUAGGGGGCAAGCGUUGUCCGGAUUUAUUGGGCGUAAAGAGCGUGUAGGCGGCUUCACAGGUCCGCUGUGAAAACUCGAGGCUCAACCUCGAGCUGUCGGUGGAAACCGUGUGGCUAGAGUCCGGAAGAGGAGAGUGGAAUUCCCGGUGUAGCGGUGAAAUGCGCAGAUAUCGGGAAGAACACCCGUGGCGAAGGCGGCUCUCUGGGACGGUACUGACGCUGAGACGCGAAAAGCGUGGGGAGCGAACAGG
rnacentral:rRNA from 1 species